UAUUACAAGGAACCGUGUUUUUAGUUUUCAAUACUCACAUUUGAAAGCAUCCGCGCCGCUUUUCUCCUCCGUGUUCAAUUAUGACGUAUCCUCUCCCGUGGCCUCCUGGGAUAGAAAAGUAUCGAUCGAGGAACACUUCAGAAUCUGGGCGGAAGCAGCAGGCCAUCCGGGAACUUCUCGACUAUUCAUUUAUGAUUACUGAGGUUUCUGGCAUACUUAAUUGCUCGCCUACUGCUUUUUCCCUAUUAUAUAGUAGAGAAGUAUGCGGUUUCGGACGCACUUUAAGUAGACGCACGUCCGAAUCUCACGAGAAUUAGUACGUCAUCCAGAAGCAGAAGCAGAGAUAGUUUGUGCAACAGCAACAAGGUGCAGGUCCAAACCCAUCUGUCAAGACGCUUCUUUGUCCACUUGCUGUCCGCCCCACCAGCCCAACGAUUGUGCUGGAGAGCUUUUGACCACAAGUCAUAGAAAAAGAGAAUGUCAUAAUCAUCUGGAACAGCAUGAGGGAGCAAAGAGCAAAACUGACAGUGGUGGAGAGAGAAGAAGUGCCCUUGAUGAGGAAACCAUGGCAGCCAUAUAUACAGUAAG